rfam:Gossypium hirsutum cultivar TM-1 chromosome 2, whole genome shotgun sequence
AAUCCAUGCAUUAGAAAUUUCCAAAUUAAGUCUUUAAAUCACUCCCAAACUUUAUAUAGUGUUUCAUCUUUCGAUUGUCGAAUAGGUGUGAUGUCAUUUCUAAGCUU